rnacentral:lncRNA from 1 species
GUGAUUUAUCGCAGGAAUUGAUCAAAAUGGGACUUAGGGAUUUAAGAAUAAAAAUUGGGAUUUUGUUAGAUAUUGACAUAAAUUGUAGUAGUUGGCUAUGGAACUGAGUUCUAUAUGAAAUUUGCUGCGUCUUGGCGUAAGAAUUGCAAGAUUUAGGAACCAAGGUACCUCCGGCCACCAUAGACGGCGGCGACAGCGGUGGAUUCGGUGACCGGAAUUCCUCAUAGACAGUAUAUUCCAAUUUUUACAUAGAAUCUAGUUUUGCAAUUAGUUUGCACUUUGAUAAGGUAUAGUGUUCGAAUCAUUAGACGACAGAAAUCGAAAAUUAGGCUUCUAAGCCGUAAAUAUCACAGAAAGUUAAAUUAAGGAGGGGUUGGUAGAAAUGCAGUAGCUAAGUUAUUGGGUAUUCUAAUCACAUGAAUAAAUUAGUUGUUAGCUUAUUUUGUUAGCAUGACUUGAGAUUAAAUCGAAGUUAUAGUUUUAUAAUAAGAAAACUUUUAGUGUUAUUGAUUUCAUAUACAGAUUAUGAUAUAAGGAUAAAUAGACACGUGUUUACAAUUAGUAACGGGUAAAAAUAUUUAGUUUUCUACGCCAAGACGAAGUUGAAUUCAUAAAACAUGAAUUAAAGUAUGCUUAGGAAAUCAAGAUAUGAGUUUACUUAGCACAUAUUUUCAUGUUGGACUCAAAUUCAUUGUAAGGAUAUAAUAACCAGCAGGGUUGUUAGACAUGUAAAUUUGUAAGUUAUACUUGGCUUAUUAAAGGAAAUCUAGGAUUUAGUGUUGUAUAUAAUUGGUUAUAGGUCAUGAAAUAUAAAUAGGUGCAGUCAAACAAACCAUUUAUUUGAUUGUGAUUAAAUUUGAAAGGUGAAAAUCAAUGAUGGGUAUGUAUAUAAAUGAGACUUAUUGAUUCAAUUUAAGAAAUUAUUUUGUUUUUAGUUAUUAAGUAAUUUAUAGUAAAUUAUGGAUUCAAGAUA